UUCUGUGGGUCCCAGCUAGGUCAUCGUCUUCAAACCAGGCACGAAGCGACGCACACGGACGAACCACUGCUGCGUUUUCAGUUUCUUGCGUUUACUCUCCAAUUGAUUCCGGGCGUUUUAAGCCACCAUUUGAUGCACCGUUUGUUGCUACUUAAGCUCCACUCUCUUCUCUUUAUUUUCCCCCAAACGGCGCUUUCUGAGAGCCGCCAGGCUGCUCGAAUUUUGCCUCGCAUGUCCACAGUAUCAUCGCGGUAAAUCGUCGAUUGCGCGCACCACAGCGACAACGCCAUAUUCGGCUAUAGUCCGCGGAAAGAGUCGCCGGCGAGCGAUUUCCGGCGAAACAGUGCGCCUCUACGUCCAGGACUUCUUCCCCAGCCAUUCUCGACAACAGGACUCAUCUGUUUGUGGUUGCUCCAAUUGCAACGAGUGUUUUUGCGAAGAGUGUACCAACUCAUCCCCUCGCUAAGG